rnacentral:lncRNA from 1 species
UGCCGAGCCCUCGCUCCUCUCCAAGCCAAGUCUCGCCUGAUGAUCUCGCCGCCUCCCCGGGCCCGCCGCGAGCUGCGGCGCGGCCGCGUUGGUGGCGGGGGGCCCGCUCGGUCGGCUUGGGAGCCGCUGCGCGAGCGAGCCGUCAGUUUCCCAACGGCCUCGUUUCCCGUCCUUGGGAAUGCCAGGCUGCGUGCACGUAGACAUGAGGAUCCUCUGAAGGUCAAUGUGGAAGACGAAACCUGUUUUCGUGGGAUCUACAGUAACGAUGAAGGGAUUCUUGUGAGAGUCCAAAAUGGGAUGGAUUUAAGCGGUCCGGUGGGCUGGAGCAGCAUGGGCCAAGCAGCCAGAGCCCAGUGCAGGGCAGGGGACCCACUCAGCCCUGCCACACCCUGUGAUGUUCUUCCUGGAGUUGCGGACCAUGCUUGGUGCAGAUGGGUGAAAUGGUGA